rnacentral:misc_RNA from 1 species
AAAGUCACCAACUACAGAAUCUAAAGAUCUGAUGAGCGCCUAAAAUGGUCUUCACAUGUUCGGAAAGAACAAGAUUGGUUCACAAAUCAUGACCCUUACAUUUCUAAAACCCUGCUUGAACUCACCAGAAUUCCCAGCACUCCUCUUAUUGAUAUUAUAAAGUCGCUGUCUUUAUUAUCCAUCCACAAUUUUUCUUACUAGAUUGUUUUUCAAUUUAUGUACAGUUUGUGCAUCCUUAGAAUCAUAACAUUUGCAUAUACAAU